rnacentral:lncRNA from 1 species
CUCACCACGCCCAGCGUCUCUGCUUCUAAUACUCAGCUUUUCUCCUCUGUUAAUGAUCAUCACUUCCCAAGAAGAGACCAGUGGAAAUUUCCUGCAGCCACUGUGUUUAUGAGCAGUGCAUGCAUGUGAUUGGGCACACACUGGCCCACUUUUUCUCUCUUUCUUUUCUCUUUCCUCUCUUUCUUCUUUUACUCAUACCCAUCCCAUCUCUUCAUCCAAGCAGAGGCCUCACAACAACCCACGAGAUCAGUGAUGACUGCCCCCAUUCGCCAGCUUUGCAGGGAGAGAUCAAAACCAAGGCGAUCUUCAGGCCCAAGGGAGGCAGGGAGGAGGCUUGCCGAGCCCACCCCUGUGAAGAGUUGCUCCACAGAGCUGACAGCUUCCCACAGUGUGUGAGAUGCGCCACAGCCAGGGGAGAUCUCGGGAAAAAGAGGCCCUCUUCAGGAGCGAAGCUGCUCAUGCGGAUUUCCUGACAGCCUGGACUAAUUGUCUUAUCUUCCGCUCUUUACACUAAGAGUAUUUACACAGGAAUGACACAGAGGCUUUUACCUCUGCAAGCCAAUUCCAGGGUUGAAAGCCCACCUGAAAUUCCCAUCCCCCAUCAAUGAUGCCAUGAUGGUUUCCAGAGCAACCACGGGGGAUGGCAUGGUAUGGGGAAGGGAACUGGGGAGAUUAGGAGGACAGGAGCCCUUCUCAGAUUGAGCCCUUCCCCAGCUCCCCCUUCAUCGGGAACCAGGUGGGAGGGAGGCAGAGAGGCAGGGAGGGUGUGUGUCUCGAUGUUCUGGGCAACAGCCCCACUUUUUCUCCCCUUUUCUCAGUAUCGGGAUUGGAUGUUUUUGUGAUGCAGUCUGCACAAUGGCCGGGCACUUAUAACACUCAGAGAACAUGGGUGGUUUCUGCAUUAUUUAUUCUUUUCUUUUUUAUCUCCAAUGUCCCAUGCCAUUCAAGUAUUUGUGCUUCCAGUCUUUUCCGUAUGCUAGGCACUGGGGACUCAGAGGAGAAGAGAUCAGAUGUGGCUUCUGCUCCCGCUGAGUUUACAGUUGGAAGAGGAGAUGAAAGGAAUACCCUGACAUGUGUCAUCCUACCUUCACUCAAGACAAGGGCAAGGGAAGAGAAACUAGGGAGCAGAAGGAGGAUAUCAUAAGAGAACCUAAUUUAGUCUGGGCAUUUUAAGAAAACUUCCUGGUGGAGCUGACAUUUACAUUGAGAUUGGAAAUAUGAGCAGGAACUGGCCAGAUGGCAUGCGAGAUGGGGAGGUGAUGGUUCCAGGCUGAAAGGACUGUGCAAAGGCCCAGUGGCAGGAAGGCAAACCUGGGGAGAUCUCAAAGAUUGUCUUGACCUACCAUCUUCCCUACUUCCUAGAUGAAAAAUCUGAGGGCAGUGACUUGUUCAAGGUCACAUAGAGAAUGAGGAACAGGACUGAGAUUGAUCCUGAGGACCAUUCCCUGUCUUCUAGCUCUUUCUCUGGUUCCAUCAGGCCUACCAGUUCCAAGCUUCUCCCAAUUUCUUUCUUGGAUCACAAGUGAUAUAUCUGACUUCUCUUCCACAACCCUCAGCACUGAAGGCACUGACUUGGAUGUGGCUCACUGGGGAAUGUUCUUCAGUGGGGAGGCAAGAGAGUAGAAGCCUUAUGUUUGAAUGGGUGCUGCCACAGCCAGGCACAUCCCCCAGGCUGUUGGUGGUGUGGGAAGCAGAGCAGGAUAUGAGUGAGUCACCUCCUUACCAGUGUCUGAGCCAAUACCUCCUUGUCCAUGGCUCUGCUGUGGCCCUGGUGUGGCCCAGGUUCUCCAAUGUCCAUUUCCUUCAGAGAGGCCAGUGAAACCUCCCAGUUGGAGGCUUUGCCUGAGCAGCCCUGAUAGACUUGGGGAUCCCAGAGUCUGCAGGGAGCCCUGGCAAACAACAGACCCACCUUGGAGUCAUGGAGCCUCUCCAAAGGUUCUGCUGGAUCUUAGGCAUCUUCUGGUCCUCCCUUCCUGUUCUAUUGAUGAGGAACUUGAGUCCAGAGAAGGGAAGGGAUGUUAUUGAAGUCCACACAGGGACUCAGAGGCAGAGCUGGUUUCCUGCACCUUACUCCAGGGCUCUCAGCAGCUUUGAAGCAGAGGAUUAUGGGAGGCCUUGAAGACUCCAUUAUGCAUGGUGCUGACAGCAACGUCAUCUUCCUUCAACAACUGCAGUACCAGGCAGGCUAGCAGCCGUUCGGUCAGAUUCUGAUCUGCACUGGAAGUACAUAAGAUACCACUGAAAAUAAGAGUUAGAACCUAGGGGAUAGGCCUGUGGGCAGCAUCCUCACCCUUUCUCCAUGGAUGCAAAUCUUACCCAGGCACAAGAUGGCAUGGGGUCACAGCUGUGGGUCCCCCCUGGGUAAAUCACUUAGCCUUAGUUUUCUCAAAUCUAAAAUGGGGAUAGUGAUCCCUAUUUCAUGGUAUGACUCUGAAAUGAAAUGAAAUGUGAGCUUCCUUCUCUCCUUGACCACCAUUUUGUCUAUAGCUAGCAAUGCCUUUCUCUUUCUCUUUCUCUUCCUUUCCCUCUGCCUCUCUCUCUCCUCGUGAUGGUUAAUUUUAUGUGUCAACUUGACUGGACCACGAGGUGCCCAAGCAUUUGGUCAGACAUUAUUCUGGGUAUGUGUGCGAGGGUGGUUCAGGAGGAGAUUAACAUUUGAAUGGGCAGACUGAAUAGAGAAGAUUGUCCUCCCCAAUGCGAAUGGGACUCAUCCAAUCAAUUGAAGACCUGAAUAGAACAAAAGGGCUGAGUAAGAGGGAACUCUUGCGGCCUGAUGGCCUUGAACGGGGACAUCUGUCUUUUCCUGCCUUUGGACUUGAACGGAAACAUCAGCUCUUCUUUAGUCUUGAGCCUACUGGCUUUGAACUACACCAUCGGAUUUCUUAGGUCUUCAGCUUGCUGACUGCAGUGAAUCUUGGGACUUCUCAGCCUCUAUAAUU